CUGCAGAGGCGACCUCUCCCAGAUAAGAGAUAUUUUUAAGAGGCAAGCCUGGAGAAGAGAGCAUAAUUCUCCCACCAGAAGACAGGCCUGGGCAGUUAUAGUCCAUCAUGCAGACUGCUAUUUAGUGCAGUACGAGUCCCUUAUAGCGAGAAAUUCACACCCCCCCGCCAUGCACAGAGCUACAGCAAGGCCUGGGCACCACUUAAAUGGUGCCGGCUGGCCACGCAGGAAUGAAUUUCACCAACAGCAACCUCCAAUAGCCCCCAACACAGUUCAGGAGAAUGAAAGUGACAUUAGUACAAGUGAAGGUGCAUCUGAUGAAGUGGGCUGUAGCUCACGAAAGCUUAUGCUCAAAUAAAUGGGUUGGUCUCUAAGGUGCCCCGAGUCCUCCUGUUCUUUUUGCGGAUACAGACUAACACGGCUGUUACUCUGAAACCUGUCAUUAGUACAAGUAGUUUAAUAUAGCAAGUGCCUCCCAUGGCCCUACUCGAACAAGGAUUGAAACAAAACGGUUUCAACAUAAGUUUGGACGGCCACAUUGGACGUCAGUAUUUUUUGCAGCAUAGAAGGAAACUAGCCAUAUUUUAAACCUAACCCAGAACCACGUUACCCCAUGUGCAAUAUGAGAUAGAAUAGAUCCGUUUUCAGCCCUUAGAUCAUCAUAGUUUAUGGCCAGCACAGUUCUAGGUGCUUGGCUACACUUACAUUAUAUAGUGCUCAAACUUGCUAGGCUCCCAGCACUCAGAGCUAUUUCCCUCGUGGAAGUGGACUAUCAGGAGCACUGGGAGAGACCUCACGCAGGACCACACGCGCUUCAAAGCGCCACGGGAGCGCUCCAUGGGCAGCGCUUUGAAGUUUUAGUGUAGAUCUCGCCUAAGCGUGCCACACACACCCCCGCGCCCCGUUUUCCUCUCCUGCCAAUAAAACCAAGUUUUGGAGCAAAGUAGCCAGCCGAGAAUCUACACCAGGCUUACAACAUUCUGAAAAAAGCUUUGACGUCCACAACAGUGAAGGAGACAAUACUAAGUCUAUAUUGCAUUUUAUAAAACACUUCUAAACUGACCUAACGCUUCAUGACCCUUGCCCCAGAGAGAUUACAGUCUUAAGUUAUUUUUAAGUACCCAAAAGCAUUUUAAGUGCUUCCUAGAAACAAAUGAAGCCAUGCACUCUGCCCAAAGUCCUUACAGGUGAAGGCCCUGAUUUGCAGACACUUGAAUCCCUGGAGCCCAAGUGAAUGUAGUUCCCAGAUAGAGCUCCAGGGGUUUAGUCACAUGAGUAAAGUUAGAGUUCAGGUCAAGUUCAGACAUGACUCAGCAAUUAUGGGGUAACAAGAGGAAGGAAAAGGGUGACGCUAAACUAACACAUCAGUACGUGAGGCUCGUCACUGCCGAACUGUUUCUUUCGGUAAGUUGCUUGGGGUUUGUUUUUGUUUCUAAAAGUCACAUCUGAUAGCCUUCCCGGUGGCGAUGUUAUAACCUGAGAGAUGGGUUCAUACAAGUGUUUGACAUACAGGGCAGACGAUGGAGGCACAGAUGAGGGAGCGGGAGAAGCAACCACAGAUUAUGACAAGGCUGUCAACAGCAGAACAAAGAGAAAUCAACUAGGGGAGGAACGUGGAAAGAGACAAGGUAUGAGACUGCUGCUUUGAACACAGCGGUGGCUGGCCCAGUUUCAACCACAGCAUGGACAGGCCAGAAUCCAAAAAGCAACUGCACUUCCCGCAGCCAAAGAGAACUGCAGAUUAUGAGCGAAAUUCUGCCCCCACUGACGCUAAUGGCAAAACUACCAUUUUUUCCAGGAGUCUCCAAGCUCUAGAGCAGAGCGUUAGCUGCAGGCACCUGGGCGUGGUGCGUCACUUAACUUCACUGCAAGGAGGGAUCCUGCAAACACUCACGCAUGGGUGUUACUUUAUUCGUCAGGAGCUGAGCCCAAAAGACAACACUUACAAGUGUGCUUAACUGAACUUUAGCCACAGGGACUAGUCCUGGUGUAAAGUUAGCAUUCAGCACAAUGGGACCCCCUAUCUGAUUGCUGCAUUUGGGUGCUACUGUAGGAUAAAUGACAUUAAAUAAUAAUAAUAAUAAUAAUAAUGAGGAAUUUUUCUUCAUUAUGUUGUGAGGAUGAUGCUUUGCAAGUUGGAUGACACUUGACCCCCCCAGAGGUAAUGUGGUGAUAGUGUCACAAUAUAUUAUGAUGCCAUAGAAUCAUAGGACUGGAAGGGACCUUGGGAGGUCAUUUAGUCAAGGCCCCUGCACUCAUGGCAGGACUAAGUAUUACCUAGACCAUCCCUAACAGGUGUUUGUCCAACCUGCUCUUAAAAAUCCCCAAUGACGGAGCUUCCACAACCUCCCUAGGCAAUUUAUUCCAGUGCUUAACCCCCCUGACACGAAGUUUUUCCUAAUGUCCAACCUAAACCUCCCUGGCUGCAAUUUAAGCCCAUUGUUUCUUGUCCUAUCCUCAGAGGUUAAGAACAAUUUUUCUCCCUCUUCCUUGUAACAACCUAUGUACUUGAAAACUGUUAUCAUGUCCCCUCUCAAUCUUCUCUUUUCCAGACUAAACAAACCCGAUUUUUUUCAAU